AGUGAACGCUGGCGGCAUGCCUAACACAUGCAAGUCGAACGAGACCACAGGGACUAGUGGCGCAUGGGGGUGUCGCGCGUCGGAAGCUUCACUUAGGUAUGGAAUAACUCUCCGACAGGGGUGAUAACGCCGGAUAAUGUCUUCGAACACAAGAUAUAUCGCACUUGGAUGGGCACGCGUUGAAUUAGCUAGUUGGUAGGGUAACAGCCUACCAAGGCGAAGAUGCGUAGCUGGUAAGAGGGGGAGGUCAGCUACCCUGGGACUGAGAACCGGUCGAGACACCUACGGUAGGCAGCAGUCGGGACUCUUACGCAAUGGGGGAGAGCGUGAUAUAGCACAAUCGGGUGAGUGAUGAAGGACUUAGGCUGGGAGAGCGAUGUUGUUCGGAAAGAAGAAAAGCUCUUUUACCCAGGAUGGUAAUGACGGUACCGAAAGAAUAAGCACCGGCUAACUCCGUG
rnacentral:rRNA from 1 species